rnacentral:ribozyme from 1 species
AGCUUGACACAUACAAAAAUACAUACAUGCGACUGCUAUCGAGCAGCCAGUCAGAAAAGAGAAGAUGGGACAGCAGUACCUGCUCACUUCACCAAAGAAGGAGCGCUUCUGCCAAGGAGGAGGCAAAUAGGGGGGGGAAAGAGCGGUUACUCGACACAAGAAAGGGAUCUCAUCCUUUCCUGAACAGCAACA